rnacentral:rRNA from 1 species
AUUGAACGCUGGCGGCAGGCCUAACACAUGCAAGUCGAGCGGAGCGGCGGACGGGUGAGUAAUACCUAGGAAUCUGCCUGGUCGUGGGGGAUAACGUUCGGUACCGGACGCUAAUACCGCAUACUAUCAGAUGAGCCUAGGCCGGAUUAGCUAGUUGGUGAGGUAAUGGCUCACCAAGGCGACGAUCCGUAUCUGGUCUGAGAGGAUGAUCAGUCACAAUGGAACUGAGACACGGUCCAGACUCCUACGGGAGGCAGCAGGGGGGAAUAUUGGACAAUGGGCGAAAGCCUGAUCCAGCCAUGCCGCGUGUGUGAAGAAGGUCUUCGGAUUGUAAAGCACUUUCAGUUGGGAGGCGUUACCGACAGAAUAAGCACCGGCUAACUCUGUGCCAGCAGCCGCGGUAAUUC